GCCUUGCCUGUACCGGAAGUAGCAGACGAUGUGCGCGUGACGUCACGGGUUGUGGAGCUCCUCACAUUGUUUACAAUCAUGGCCACCAGCAGCUAGAGCGAUUCGGACCAAGAAAGCGACGAUUUCCCCAUUAAUUUGAGCGAGGAUGAAAGAUUCGUGGAUGAGGAAAGUGAGAGGGAAGGACUAGAAAAAAUAAAAAUAAAAGACGAAGGCAGUGAGAGUGAUUCAGAUGUUAUUAGACACAUUUACUAGAAUAAUUCUGGAAAAUCCCUUAUCUGCUUAUUGUGUUACCAGUGUUUUAGUGAGAUUAUAUGGUCGUACCUGAAAGUCGGAGGGGUGUGGAACCGCCAGUGUCUCUGAGGGAAGCCAUGUUUCUCGACGAGGCGACGCAAAGGCAGUCGUUGGGGCUGGGCUGAGAUAUUUUUUUUCCCCCCUCCUCCACGGUGGAAGCAUCCCACGUUCGGGGGUGGCUGGUCGGAGGAGGCAAGAGAGUCCGCAGCUGCCUCUUUGACAGGUGCACGAGGAACAACGCAAGGUCUUCGGUCAUGUCUAUGGUGGAAAAGGCUGCGAUGAGGUGGUGACUUGUCCAGGGUGUACCCCGCCUUCCGCCCGAUCGUAGCUGAGAUAGGCGCCAGCGGCCCCCGCUACCCCUAAAGGGAAUAAGCGGUAGAAAAUGGAUGGAUGGAUGGUGGAAAAGGGAGAUGAGGUGGCGACUUUUCCAGGGUGUCGCUUGCCUUCCCCCCGAUUGUAGCUGAGAUAGGCACCAGCGCCCCCCGUGACCCCAAAGGAAAUAAGCUGUAGAAAAUGGAUGGAUGGAAAUUUUGCACAGUCCCCUGUGAUGGUCCUUCUCGCUGCCAUCUUUCUACAGAUAGGAAAAAGAGGGACUUUUAAAACCAAAAGAACCAAGGACAGACGCCUGUACACAAAAAAAGUGAGAUUAUAUGGUACCUGAAAGUUGGAGGGGGUGUGGCCACGGGUGUGGAGGACGCAAGCUCCGCUCAUAACUACGUGUGUGGCCCUUAUGAUGACCUUGUUGUGCAAAAGCCACCCGGACUAAAAAUCCUUGGACUCGACCCCGCCUUCAUGGAGACUUAACCAUGACCACGUUUGUCCGGACCAGAUGGACUUUGUUUAGCAAGAACUAUAGGAAGAACGAAGAAUUAUUAAAAAAACAGUAAUGGCAAUGAAUACAUCUGAAGUUGAUCUAUAGAUAUUUAGGUGUAAAAGGUAAAUAAAAACAUCAAUGUAUGACUUAUAUUUUAAAUAUUUUAAUGAUCUUUUUGCGUCCGUGGGACCUUGAAUAUUCACCAACAUUGAGGGCAGCCCUAAGAGUUACAAUAAAUAUCGUGUUGGUUUUGAAAAUGAAAAAUAUCACAAUUUUUUUCAAUGUGUGGCCCUUCUGAAGGCCUUGUUGUGCAAAAGCCACCCGGACUAAAAUUCCUUGGACUCACCCCCACCUCCAUGAAGACUGGACCAUGACCAUGUUUGUAUGGACCAGAUGGACUUUGUUUUUCACGGACUAUAGGAAAAACGAAGAAUUGUUGACGGUAGUAGCACGCUGAUGUUCAGUUGAGACCGACGCUGUAAUUUCCAUCUGUGACCUUCUUUGAAUGAAUGGACAUGGCCUCGGACUCUUGAAGGACGCGGGUAGAAUCUAACAAAAUAAAGCACUGCAAUCCACCACAAAGCAAUAUUUGUGUCAUUUAAAACUGAGUAUUUACCUUCGGAAAGACCAAAUUUGGGGUUUGUGGUCAUAAAUGUGUGACUGAAAACUGACUAUUUAGCUUUGGAAAGACCAAAUUCGGGGUUUGUGGUUAUAAAUGUGACUGAAA